rnacentral:rRNA from 1 species
UCGGGAAUUUUGGGCAAUGGGCGCAAGCCUGAUCCAGCAAUGCCGCGUGAGUGACGAAGGCCUUAGGGUUGUAAAGCUCUUUUGGCGGGGAAGAUAAUGACGGUACCCGCAGAAUAAGCUCCGGCUAACUUCGUGCCAGCAGCCGCGGUAAUACGUAGGGACCAAGCGUUGUUCGGAUUUACUGGGCGUAAAGGGCGCGUAGGCGGUGUGUCAAGUCAGUUGUGAAAUCUCCGAGCUUAACUCGGAACGGUCAACUGAUACUGUCACACUAGAGUACAGAAGGGGCAAUCGGAAUUCUUGGUGUAGCGGUGAAAUGCGUAGAUAUCAAGAGGAACACCUGAGGCGAAGGCGGGUUGCUGGGCUGAUACUGACGCUGAGGCGCGAAAGCUAGGGUAGCAAACGGGAUUAGAUACCCCUGUAGUCCCUGAGCGGGCUGGCAAGGCGCAU